ACACCAGUGUGAGGUUUUGUCCUUUACAUGACAGUUUUACAGUAAUCAAUAUGUCAAAGACAGUUUUAACUGUUUAAAGUCCAAUAAAAACUAAAGAUUACACAACUUGGAAAAAAAAAACCAUGAACUUGUGAUGAGCUGUGGAUAAACUUUGGAAUAUAUUUUUGCAUAGAAAGAAGUCCAUACAUUUAGUAUCACAUUACUUACAUUGGAAAUGCAGUAAGAAGGAAAUCUUUUAAAGGCCAUAAACAGGAAGGCUCAUUAAAAUAUACAAAAGCAAUUUCAGUGUUCAUACAGGCACCUGACUAUUGUUUUAAGACAUGUAAUUCCUUUAAAGUAAGGAGCUGGUAGGAUACAAGAUAAUGAUGACUAAGGAACAUGGAGAUCUUAACUGACUUGUGUUGAAACUGUUUUAAUGUGAGGUUUCCCUUUACCUAGCCUCUGUAUCAUCACCUGCUCAGUCCAAGACAGUACCAAGUCUAAAGUUAACUAAUGAGAGGUUAUCACUAAACCUAAGGAUCAUAGCUAGGUUCAAGUUUCUUCUUGCAUUAGCUCUGCACAAGUACUUUGAAAUGAUCCAGAUAAACUAAUAACACUAUACUACAUAGCUCCAUCUCUAGCUAAGCCCUCACACAGCAAUUCAGUACUCAAAAGGUUAUCGUUUAAGGCUCCUUACAAACAAUUUAAACGUUAAAUGCAGGAAAUGACCACUAUAAGACAAUACUGUGAUACUGUUUUCAUGUCAGAUUCUGUUACACUCCAUCAUCGCAGCUCGACACACUCCAUUGAAAACGUUGGUUACUAUGAAACGGUUGUCUGGCAUGUUAACAUCAUAAACAUUAUUACUAAGGUUGGAUUUUACUGUGUGUGCCAGGGACUACAUACUCUGGUGUAUGUAGCCUGUAACGUCGCGCGGUCGGUCAACCGUCAUAGUCAAACACAAUCUGGACUCAGCUCUAACCGUAUGUAAGCUAACGUCACUGACAUAUGGGUUAGCAACGUCCUCUGACUCUGAUUAACAAGACACAAACAAGGUGACUGAGGACUGAUGUUUACCUGUCAGAGGAGGGCUGCAUAGCGUGAGAAACUGAUCCAGGCACCUCUCGCAAGCUCUCACAGUCCAUGCAGCGAUGAUCCACAGCGAGAUGGUGAAGACCAGCAGCACAGUGCCGGGACAGAUGGUCAUGAGGGUCUUCAUCAC